GAUGCCAGCUAGCGAUCCGCCAAAGUUCCUCCGAUGACUUGGUGGGCAGCUUCCGGGAAACCAAAGCAUUUGGGUUCCGGGGGAAGUAUGGUUGCAAAGCUGAAACUUAAAGGAAUUGACGGAAGGGCACCACCAGGAGUGGAGCCUGCGGUUAAAUUUGACUCAACACGGGAAACCUCACCAGGCCCGGACACCGGAAGAAUUGACAGAUUGAGAGCUCUUUCUUGAUUCGGUGGGUGGUGGUGCAUGGCCGUUCUUAGUUGGUGGAGCGAUUUGUCUGGUUAAUUCCGAUAACGAACGAGACUCUAGCCUACUAAAUAGACGUACUUUAUUACCGGCAUCUCAAGGCCCAUCGGCUGUAUUGUUACUGAAUGUUAUUUGUAUAUUUUGUUGAUAUAUAUUUAUUAUAUGUAUGAUUGAUAAUAUGUGUGUAUUAUAU
rnacentral:rRNA from 1 species